rfam:Lactobacillus kunkeei strain LAko contig007, whole genome shotgun sequence.
UUAAAAACAGUGAUUAGGAAUUUUAGUUAAUUCAGUCAUUUACAGAGAACUUAGCAAAGCCGGGUGAGAGCUAAGGAUGACAUUAAUUAAAUCGUACCUAUGAGUUUGAAUUCGAAAUGAGUAGAAUUCACCGUUAACGCGUUAUCGUUAAAGUUUGUAUGAACUUUAUGAGCUGAUGUUCGUGAGAAUGUCAGAAACUGAGGUGGAACCACGAUUAGUCGUCCUCUAG